rnacentral:miRNA from 1 species
UCUAAGGUGUGUGUGUAUAUAUAUAUAUAUAUAUAUAUAUAUAUAUAUUCACACACACACACACACACAGG